CGCGUUCCAAAAUAAUUAUCCAAACCCAAACAUAAAAAUGUUUGCCACUUCCAACAUAUCUUCCCUUCUCAAACGCUAAUACCAACUUCGUCACGGGUCCUAAACCCACCAAAACUUCCCCUCUUACAUACCACCACCAUUAAAAUACCACCGUCAACGCCAAAUAACAACGCAUGCAGAGAUGAACACGUUCAUUCCUAAACUCCCUCUCAUCCUCAGACCCUUCCUUCUCUCUCUCUUUCUCUCUAUUUCAGCCCUCAUUUUCAUAGCUUCCCUUACUUCCCGUCACCACAGAAUAAACACCACCUCCCAACAACUCACCGAAACGCCGCCCUUCUCUGUCAAUAACUCCGCCAGAGACCUCCGCAUCCGACCCGGAUACUCCUCCUACAAUGCAUACAUCCAGCAUCAACUCAACAAGAGCCUCAACCCCAAACUCCGGAAUAUUUGGAAAACUCGCGAUUGGGACCGCAAAGUCCGCGUCUUUGCCCAGUUCUUUGACUCCUUAAAGCAAAGAAACCACUUGUCCAACGCUUCAAAGGCCUUAUCCAUUGGAGCCCGAGUCGGCCAGGAGGUGGAAGCGCUGAGACGCAUCGGCGUCUCCGACUCCAUCGGAAUAGACCUGGUGCCGUGCCCACCACUGGUGGUGAAAGGAGACUUCCAUGCACAGCCGUUCGAGAACGAAACUUAUGAUUUUGAGUUCUCAAACGUGUUUGACCACGCGCUGUAUCCGUGGAAGUUUGUCGGGGAAAUCGAACGGACGUUGAAGGAAGGAGGAGUUUGUGUUCUACACGUGGCGUUAUCGCGACGGGCAGAUAAGUAUUCGGCGAAUGAUUUGUAUAGUGUGGGGCCAUUAGUGGAGCUGUUUAAGGAGUCGGAGUUGAUAGAGGUAAAGAAGGUGGAUGGUUUUGGUCUGGACACUGAGGUGGUCUUUAGGAAAAAGCGAAAGAGCAAUCUGCGGCUUGAUUGAUUUUUUUUUUUUUAAUAAUUAUUAUUAAUUAUUAUUUAUUUGCUCUCUCUUUUUGAGUUGAACAUAUGAACAUGUAUUAUUGGGUUUUUGUUGGAAAUGAUAUGAUGAUAUGCCAGCCAGUUCAAGCAAACAGCUAACAUGCAAAUACCAAUUUCUCAACUAAUUAAUCAUAUGCAUAUGCAUAAUGCACGCAUUGCCACUCCCUUUAAUAAAUAAAUUAUGAUAAAUUU
rnacentral:misc_RNA from 1 species